GACUCUUUAGAUUGUUCCCCCAAUGUUUUGGUGAAAUAGCACUAUGAUGAUAAACAAAGUUAGAUUUUAGGGGGAAAUGAAGUUUCAGAAGAAUUUUUGGUGUCUCCCCUCUUCCUGAAAUUUUCACACUCUCUCUAAUUCCCGCUAUUCUCUUCCCUCCCAUUGCUAUUUGCUCUCUCAAAUUCGUCCUUUAGUAGUAUAAGGAUUUAUCUCUUUCUAUUGUCAGAACUUUGGAGGUCUCUCUUAA
rnacentral:misc_RNA from 1 species